rnacentral:rRNA from 1 species
GUGAGGAAUAUUGGUCAAUGGGCGGCAGCCUGAACCAGCCAUCCCGCGUGAAGGAAGAAUGCGCUAUGCGUUGUAAACUUCUUUUUCAGGGGGAUAAAAUUCUGUAUGUAUACAGGACUGAAGGUACCCUGAGAAUAGGCAUCGGCUAACUCCGUGCCAGCAGCCGCGGUAAUACGGAGGAUGCGAGCGUUAUCCGGAUUUAUUGGGUUUAAAGGGUGCGUAGGCGGAAUAAUAAGUCAGUGGUGAAACCCUGCAGCUUAACUGUAGACUUGCCAUUGAUACUGUGUUUCUUGAGUAUGGUCAAGGCAGGCGGAAUGUGUAAUGUAGCGGUGAAAUGCUUAGAUAUUACACAGAACACCGAUAGCGAAGGCAGCUUGCUGGGCCGUUACUGACGCUGAUGCACGAAAGCGUGGGGAUCGAACAG